AGUAGUUAAUUCGGUAAGAGCUGGCCCCUUUGGCCAAUCCGUUUGCCCAACACGUUUCAAUGGAGCUACUUUCUCUCUCCCCUCUCUCUCCUCCUCUCCCACCUCCUCCUCCUCCGCCAUGUUAUUCUUCUCUGCAACUUCACAGCCGAAUCUCUUUCUCUCAUUCAAGAAUCGGAGCUUCUUCGUCUUCGUUGACUUCUCAAGUGAUUCAACAUACUCCUACUUCAAAUCCGAAAGUCGUCGUCACCAGAGAACGAGGCAAAAACUCCAAGCUCAUUGACGCUCUGGCCGAACACGGGAUCAAUUGCUUGGAGCUUCCUCUUAUUCAGCAUACACAAGGGCCUGACUUUGAUAGGCUUGCUUCUGUUUUAAGUGCAGAAACAGCGUUUGACUGGAUCAUCAUAACUUCACCUGAAGCCGGUUCGGUCUUUCUAGAGGCAUGGAAGGCAGCUGGAACCCCAAGUGUGAGGGUAGGUGUUGUUGGAGCUGGUACAGCUAGUAUUUUUGACAAUUUAAUGCAAUCAUCAAAGCACUCACUUGAUGUUGCCUUUGCACCAUCAAAAGCAACAGGAAAAAUUUUGGCUUCAGAGCUUCCGAAGGAUGGGAAUAGAAGGUGCACCGUCUUAUAUCCUGCUUCGGUGAAAGCUAGUAAUGAGAUUGAAGAAGGCCUGUCUAGUCGUGGAUUUCAGGUUAUGAGGCUGAACACAUACACAACUGUACUUGUUGAUCAUGUUGACCAAAUUGUCUUGGAGAAGGCCCUAUCUGUCCCGGUUGUUGCUGUUGCUUCACCUUCUGCAGUUCAAGCCUGGGUCAAUCUUAUUUCAAAACCUGAUUCUUGGAGCAAUUCAGUUGCCUGUAUUGGGGAGACAACCGCCUCAGCUGCAAAAAGAUUGGGAUUGAGAAAUGUUUACUUUCCAACGCAGCCUGGACUUGAUGGUUAGAACACUCAGUGUCCGAUUACUUGCAUGGCUGUUGAAGCAACCAUAAAGUUAAACUACAGCAAAUUUCCUGCAACUGUAAUUUGCUUCAAUAGCCAAGGCUCUGCCAGCAAAACCAAUACUCUAUUGAGUAUUGAGCAAAGUUCUGUUUGAGCUGAGCUUCCUUGACUUGGCAAAUGAGUUCUUCCUUCUCUUAUAUUCACCUUUUCUCUCUCUCUGAACCUCCUUAACCAUGAAUGCUUAUCAAAUUGGAAGUUGUUUUUGACUAAAUUAAAGAUUCCGGCUCUUUUGAUUUUUGUGUAUUGGCAGCUGGGUUGGUAGCAUCCUUGAAGCCUUAAGAGCUCAUGACAGUUUUUAGGAAUGAAAGAUAUUAAGGUUCCUUUGGAAGUCUGGAGGCAGAAUGAAGCAGAUUUUGAACCAUAAGCCUCACAAAUUCCAUGCGAGCUGCAGACAACAGAAAGAGAAGAAAAUUUUGGCCACGCUAAAGGAUGGGAAUUUGUUGAAAAUUCAGAAUUUUGAAGGUACAUGUCCUAUUGGCAGCAUUGUAAUUUAAGGUUAGUGAGAGGCUAUUCAUUUCAACAUAAUUGAAACUUGUACAGUAUUUUCUCACUGUAAGCCCAUUCAUUUGACUCAAUGUCAGUUGUGUUGAAAUUGGAUUGGUGGCACUGCCACUCCAUAAAAUCUGUAAGCAGUAGGAGACUUUGUUAAUUGUAGUUGUAAUCAUAGUUGCUGUCCUUUUAUGUUGUUGUAUGACAUUUUUUAUAUA